AUUGAACGCUGGCGGCAGGCCUAACACAUGCAAGUCGAGCGGAUGACGGGAGCUUGCUCCUUGAUUCAGCGGCGGACGGGUGAGUAAUGCCUAGGAAUCUGCCUGGUAGUGGGGGACAACGUUUCGAAAGGAACGCUAAUACCGCAUACGUCCUACGGGAGAAAGCAGGGGACCUUCGGGCCUUGCGCUAUCAGAUGAGCCUAGGUCGGAUUAGCUAGUUGGUGAGGUAAUGGCUCACCAAGGCGACGAUCCGUAACUGGUCUGAGAGGAUGAUCAGUCACACUGGAACUGAGACACGGUCCAGACUCCUACGGGAGGCAGCAGUGGGGAAUAUUGGACAAUGGGCGAAAGCCUAAUCCAGCCAUGCCGCGUGUGUGAAGAAGGUCUUCGGAUUGUAAAGCACUUUAAGUUGGGAGGAAGGGCAGUGAGUUAAUACCUUGCUGUUUUGACGUUACCGACAGAAUAAGCACCGGCUAACUCUGUGCCAGCCGCCGCGGUAA
rnacentral:rRNA from 1 species